rnacentral:rRNA from 1 species
AUUGAACGCUGGCGGCAGGCCUAACACAUGCAAGUCGAGCGGAUGAAGGGAGCUUGCUCCUGGCUUCAGCGGCGGACGGGUGAGUAAUGCCUAGGAAUCUUCCUGGUCGUGGGGGAUAACGUCCGGGAACGGGCGCUAAUACCGCAUACGUCCUGAGGGAGAAAGUGGGGGUUCUUCAGACCUCUCGCUCUCAGAUGAGCCUAGGUCGGAUUAGCUAGUUGGUGGGGUAAAGGCCUACCAAGGCGACGAUCCGUAACUGGUCUGAGAGGAUGAUCAGUCACACUGGAACUGAGACACGGUCCAUACGCCUACGGGAGGCAGCAGUGGGGAAUAGUGGACAAUGGGCGAAAGCCUGAUCCAGCCAGGCCGCGUGUGUGAAGAAGGUCUUCGGAUUGUAAAGCACUUUAAGUUGGGAGGAAGGGCAGUAAGUUAAUACCUUGCUGUUUUGACGUUACCAACAGAAUAAGCACCGGCUAACUUCGUG